rnacentral:tRNA from 1 species
UACUAAAGGAUAAUAGAAUUCCACUGGUCUUAGGCACCACAAUCCUUGGUGCAAAU